GCCCGGCUAGCUCAAUGGUAGAGCGUGAGACUUUUAAUCUCAAGGUUGGGGGUUCGAGUCCCCCGUCGGGCU